rnacentral:lncRNA from 1 species
AAAGAAAGAGAACACAAAAUUGUUUGCAAAAGUCGUCCUUUAUUGAUGAUAAAAAUAAAUUACGAAAUGUAACUAAAUGGAUGGCCCUACAAAUGAGCCGUUACACCUUGGGCAAAGUGUAAGAAUUUAUUAUGCAUGUAAUAAAGGAAAACAAUAAAAAUCACUCUUUCAGCAGAGUAACCCGAACGGUUUUUUCAGACGACCAAUUGUCGAGCU